rnacentral:rRNA from 1 species
UACGUAGGUGGCAAGCGUUGUCCGGAAUUACUGGGUGUAAAGGGCGUGUAGGCGGGCCUGCAAGUCAGAUGUGGAAUUCCCAGGCUCAACCUGGGGGCUGCAUCUGAAACUGUGGUUCUUGAGUGCUGGAGAGGAAAGCGGAAUUCCUAGUGUAGCGGUGGAAUGCGUAGAUAUUAGGAUGGACACCAGUGGCGAAGGCGGCUUUCUGGACAGUAACUGAGGCUGAGGCGCGAAAGCGUGGGGAGCACACAGG